AUUGAACGCUGGCGGCAUGCCUUACACAUGCAAGUCGAACGGUAACAGGUCUUCGGAUGCUGACGAGUGGCGAACGGGUGAGUAAUACAUCGGAACGUGCCUAGUAGUGGGGGAUAACUACUCGAAAGAGUGGCUAAUACCGCAUGAGAUCUACGGAUGAAAGCAGGGGAUCGCGAGACCUUGUGCUACUAGAGCGGCCGAUGGCCGAUUAGGUAGUUGGUGGGAUAAAAGCUUACCAAGCCGACGAUCUGUAGCUGGUCUGAGAGGACGAUCAGCCACACUGGGACUGAGACACGGCCCAGACUCCUACGGGAGGCAGCAGUGGGGAAUUUUGGACAAUGGGCGCAAGCCUGAUCCAGCAAUGCCGCGUGCAGGAUGAAGGCCUUCGGGUUGUAAACUGCUUUUGUACGGAACGAAAAGCCCUGGGUUAAUACCCUGGGGUCAUGACGGUACCGUAAGAAUAAGCACCGGCUAACUACGUGCCAGCCGCCGCCGUAAAAC
rnacentral:rRNA from 1 species